AGCGUGAGUGGCUGCUGGGGUGUGGAGAUCUGACUGCUCUGCUGAAUGCGGUAUGCGCGGCUGGAUGUCUGCUCCGAUCACUGGACAGCCGAAUCGCGGAAUCUGAGGCGUUGACGCUUGUCUCGGUUCCUGUGUGUGUCAACUUAGCGAAGCGGCAGGCUUGGGCUGUGCGCCGCCGUCACUCUCCGAGGGAGCGCUGCUGCUGUUCUGGCUCUGCCGAGUUUUCAUCCAUCCGUCUGGCUGUCUUC